GGAUAUUAUUCUCAUCCUCACCCUCUUUCUGAUAGACUCAAAUAAAAUGACCAUCGAGAGAUAGUCCUACUAGCGACAUUGCGACACCGUCUACAAAUGAUAACAUAUAAGAUAACGUCAAAAAACAUCUACGAUUAAGACCUCAUCAGGAUGGAAACCAUUAAGCAAGAAUCAAAACAUAGACCUUAACCAUGAAAAUAGUGACCCAACCCAAAAACAGCAACAAUGAAAAAAAUGACCUGAACUACAAACAGUGCACCAGAUGAGGACCUAGAUAAAAAAUUACUCGAUAUUGUCAAGAUUACAUGACCAACUAAAAAAUCGAGACAAUGAUGACAGAAAACCACAUAUUAUAAUAGGAAAUAACCCUAACAAAACAAAACUAAGUAUCCUUCUUCACUAAAGAGAAACCUAUGACCUAUAAAGCCUUUACAGCAAACAACCCAGCACACCACAUCACUAAAAGAAACCUACAACUUCAAAAGGUUAGGAUAUAGAAGAAAUAGUCGAAAGCUUAAAUGGAAUGUGAUAUUACCUAUUCAGGAGCAGCAAAAUAGAAUCUCAAACUUUUUGGAAUCGAUCGCCUCCAAAAUACGUUGUCCUCGAUUCAGAAAUUUCAAUUUCCUACCAAAUUUUGGAGAAAAAAAAAGAAGAAAAAUAGAAAAAAUUUGCAUAAAUUUCUACUAAAAGAAGACUGUAUCUGCUUUUCUUUUGCUCGAAGGCUCCCCUUUUUUGUAUUUGAGAUUUUCUCUCUUGUAAUUUUUGCUUCUCACCUCCAAAAAAUUCCCAACCCUGAAAAUUGCUCCACGUUGAGCUAUUUAUAGAAAGGUGUAUGGGUGUAAUUUAGGGAUUUCUAAAAUAGGAAAUUUUGAAAUUCAAAAGGAAGGCGCCCCUUUUUUGUAUUUGAGAUUUUCUCUCUUGUAAUUUUUGCUUCUCACCUCCAAAAAAUUCCCAACCCUGAAAAUUGCUCCACGUUGAGCUAUUUAUAGAAAGGUGUAUGGGUGUAAUUUAGGGAUUUCUAAAAUAGGAAAUUUUGAAAUUCAAAAGUCAAAUCCCUCCUCCGCUUCGGUUUACAUCCACGAUGUCUAUGAAUUUUUUUAAUUCUUUGGCAAAAAUUGAAAAUGUUUGACCAAUAAAAUUUGGGAAAAACAAAUUGUCCUAAAAAACCGAAUGAGAUUCAUUCAAAUAUGUACGAAAUCGUACCAUUUCAUCUGAGAAUCGCGAAUUCAAACCGUUGGGGAGACAACUCAUCAAAUUCUAGAAAUUUCUUGGCUUUUCUCGUAUGAAUUCGAGUGGGACGGGUGGAGAGGAUUAGAAUGGGUCAAUUGCGGGUUGUGCUGGGUCGGGUCACCGUUGAAGCCGGAGUAUUGCUUGUUGGAUUGUCUUCAUUGGUGUCUUAUCAGGUUGAAACCAUUGUGGGUAUUUCUGAUAAUGUUGUUUCUACUAACGGGUAAAAGGAGAAAAGAAG
rnacentral:lncRNA from 1 species